rnacentral:RNase_P_RNA from 1 species
AGGCCGGUGGGCGGUCGCUGGUCAGUAGCAAUGCUGACGAGAGGAAAGUCCGGACGCCACAGGGUAGGGUGCUCUUUAAUGAAGAGCGGGGGUAACCCCAGGGAAAGUGCCACAGAAAAUAUACCGCUAAUCUUAAUGGCUUGCCGUUGAGACAGUAAGGGUGAAAUGGUGAGGCAAGAGCUCACCGCGGUGGUGGUGACAUCACCGGCAUGGUAAACCCCACCCGGCGCAAGGCCAAAUAGAGAGGCGUGGCAGAAGUUUUUAUUCUGCAAGUAGGGUACCCGCCCGAUGCCUCUGGGUAAGGCCGCUGAUGAUCGUGACCGGCAACGGCGCGGCUAGAUGAAUGACCGCCGUCACCCAUUAUGGUUGUAACAGAAUCCGGCUUAUAACCGGCCUU